rnacentral:misc_RNA from 1 species
AUAGCCUGGUGUAGUGAUAAGCUGGGCCUAAGUUUAGAGUUGGGAUCUUUUGCUGCUGGGGUGAUGAUAUCAACAGCUGACCUUGCCCAACAUACACUAGAACAAGUAAGGCUAUAUGUGCUGAACUGUCGUUGGAAAUUUUAGAGGUAUAUAUUCUUAUGUAUCUUUAUGGAAGCAACAUGACAGCUUUGGCAAUCUGUGAACUUCCUUCUUUUUCAUUUAAUUUUGUUGGAUGUAAUGCACGAGUGUGUCAUGAAACAGGUUAUAUUUUCCAAGUGGCAGUAGAAUAUAGCAAAAGAAGUGGUAUCCUACUGGUAUUUGACUGUUAAAUGAAUAUGGGACUGUGACUGUAAUGUGCUCCUCAGGGACUGUCUUGUGCCAGCCAAAGAAGCAAAGGGCCUGUUUACUUGUGGAAAACAAUUUUCUGUUUUCCAUUUUUCAUUUUCUAAGAAAGCUCUAGUUUUCAUUUUCCAUGCAAAACAAGGGAAAAUAUGGAAAACGCAUUCACCUGUCAAUAAUAGAAUACGGUUUUCUAAUUCAAAAAAUUA